AUUGAACGCUGGCGGCAGGCCUAACACAUGCAAGUCGAACGAGCGGCGGACGGGUGAGUAAUGUAUGUGGAACUGCCCGAUAGAGGGGGCUAACUACUGGAAACGGUAGCUAAUACCGCAUACUAUCGGAUGUGCCCAUAUGGGAUUAGCUAGUAGGUGGGGUAAAGGCUCACCUAGGCGACGAUCCCUAGCUGGUCUGAGAGGAUGACCAGGAACACUGGAACUGAGACACGGCCCAGACUCCUACGGGAGGCAGAAGUGGGGAAUAUUGCACAAUGGGCGCAAGCCUGAUGCAGCCAUGCCGAGUGUAUGAAGAAGGCCUUAGGGUUGUAAAGUACUGUCAGCGGGGAGGCGUUACCCGCAGAAGAAGCACCGGCUAACUCCGUGCCAGCAGCCGCGGUAAUUC
rnacentral:rRNA from 1 species